UUUUGUGUGGGGAGCGAACCAGAAAGAGAGUCGAGACGAAACAAGGUAAGUCGUCGAUUCUCUUUUUACU
rnacentral:sRNA from 1 species